ensembl:snoRNA SNORA70 Small nucleolar RNA SNORA70
CUAUAACCACUUCAGCUGACCAGGACCCUUUCUUGAUUGAGGCCUGGUAUGCAGUGGCUGCAGACAGCAUUGUCCUCAGUACAUACUGUUUGUUUCCUAUAUGGGCUGCCCUAAGGGAUCUUGAAGACAAUU